rnacentral:rRNA from 1 species
AUUGAACGCUGGCGGCAGGCUUAACACAUGCAAGUCGAGCGGUAGCACAGGGGAGCUUGCUCCCUGGGUGACGAGCGGCGGACGGGUGAGGAAUGUCUGGGAAACUGCCUGAUGGAGGGGGAUAACUACUGGAAACGGUAGCUAAUACCGCAUAACGUCGCAAGACCAAAGAGGGGGACCUUCGGGCCUCUUGCCAUCAGAUGUGCCCAGAUGGGAUUAGCUAGUAGGUGGGGUAAUGGCUCACCUAGGCGACGAUCCCUAGCUGGUCUGAGAGGAUGACCAGCCACACUGGAACUGAGACACGGUCCAGACUCCUACGGGAGGCAGCAGUGGGGAAUAUUGCACAAUGGGCGCAAGCCUGAUGCAGCCAUGCCGCGUGCGUGAAGAAGGCCUUCGGGUUGUAAAGCACUUUCAGCGAGGAGGAAGGUGGUGAGCUUAAUACGUUCAUCAAUUGACGUUACUCGCAGAAGAAGCACCGGCUAACUCCGUG